GUGUCAGCAGCCGCGGUAAUACAGAGGGUGCGAGCGUUAAUCGGAAUUACUGGGCGUAAAGCGCGCGUAGACGGUUUUGUAAGUCAGAUGUGAAAUCCCUGGGCUCAACCUGGGAACUGCAUUUGAGACUGCAUGGCUAGAGUAUCGAAGAGGGAAGUGGAAUUUCCGGUGUAGCGGUGAAAUGCGUAGAUAUCGGAAGGAACACCAGUGGCGAAAGCGACUUCCUGGUCGAAUACUGACGUUCAUGUGCGAAAGCGUGGGGAGCAAACAGGAUUAGAUACCCUGGUAGUCCACGCCAUAAACGAUGACAACUAGAUGUUGGGAGGGUCUGCCUCUCGGUGUCGCAGCUAACGCGUUAAGUUGUCCGCCUGGGGAGUACGGCCGCAAGGUUGAA
rnacentral:rRNA from 1 species